CAUCCCCCGACAUCCCCCCACCACCCCCGCCCGGGCUUUCUCCAUCAAGCGCUCAUCCAGGUGCGGCUGGGAAGGGCCGCGGCAGGUGGAAUCAGGGUUACCGAUCAGCUCACAUCAACCCGGGGCUAGGAGAAAAAAAGAGUAGAAAGGGACACCCAUGAGGCCUACAUGAGGUCACAGGACUCCAAAUGGACUCCCCGAGGUGCUUCUGCUUUAUAACCGUUCCCAUCUUUGCACCCACGGAGAUCCUCGUUUGCACGAGGGACUGCACACAGCUAGGAGAUGUGAGCAUCUGGGAAUCAUGGUCUGGAGGGACAGGAAGAGGCACAUAUAAGCUACCGGGACUCCCAGGCUGCAACCCCUCCAAGCUGUUCCUCCUCAGUGAGACCUAGUGUCCAGGUCCAGCGACGACACACGCCCCACUUGGCAUCUGGAGUCCCAGCCCGGCCGCUUUCUCGUUAUAUGGCCUUGAACAACUCAUUUCACUCGUCCAAGUCUCAGUUUUACCAAUCAUAAAAAUGGGCUGACACUGCACACACAAGCAACCCCUAGACUGAAGACGAUUCAGACCCACCAAGUGAACCCACAACCUUCUCCUGUGCCCUCUCAGACGGGAGCACCUUGCCACAAUGGGUCUAGUAAUUAAAGGAAUAUGUUCCUUAGUAACACAGCCCCUGAAAAUAUCAACCAGUACUUCAUUUAUAUCAUUUAUAUCAACCAAUGACCCCUCUAGGUUCUAGCUCUAGAGAAGAAAGCAGCCGAAUUAGCCUCAUUGAGAUAUUAAUGCCGUCCAGGUCUACAGUGAGCACCCCCCACACCCCUCGAGAGGUGUAAGAGAACCUACCGCGACGGAGACCACUCCACUCCACUGGCCUGUCACCGGCAAAAAGCGACGAGACCCAGGCAUGCAUCUGACACAUAGAGGCACCUGAACGGCAACCAUCAUCAGGCACUCUCUGUCAUCUGUUAGAUUUUGAGAGCACCUGCCCCACCGGUCUCCCCGCCUGCUUCCAGUUCCUCCUCUGCUGCUUCUCCGUGCUCCCCAGGCCAUCGGGACUGUUCCGGAUGCGCAGAACCUGUCACCAGCUUGGAGCAGCGAGUCAGGUCUCCGUCUGGCUCACCACGCCCACCCCGUCCAGGCUCCUGCCCAGCUGUCACCUCGGGGCCUCGCUCCCUCAUCCAGGAAGCGUGAAAGCAGCCCGAGGAAAUGGAACAAGAUAUUUCUGCCAUAAUGUGAAAGCCUCUUGCGGGAGAAAAAAAAUUAAUGUUAAAGGUGACUCUUCCAAAUGGGACUCCCCAGGUCUUAACAGCAAAAAAACAAAAACAAGAACAAAAACAAAACAAAACCAAAAAAAAGCCUGUAUCUUCACUCAUGCAAAUGUUCCAGGUCUUACUUCUUAAAUUGGCUUUUUAAACAGUCUUGCAGGUAAGAUAAAAUAAAUAAAUACAAGCUCUUUAAAAAUUUUAAUAGCCCCAUACUUCCUUCCAGACAAUCAUCAAUUACAGUGGAGAAAGAAAAAAACCCUCAGUGUUCUGAUUUUUUUUUUUCCCACACAGCAUGAGCGAUUGCAAGUGGUUAUCUAUAAACCUGAAACAUUUCCUCACUCUUGAGCAAAAGAGGAUGCCUAAGUGCUGGAUACUCUGCCUUGAGAAAACCCAAUAUACAGAGUCUUGAUCUUCAAAAAUAAAAAGGUUAAGAAGUGAUUAUUUGUUCUCUAAAAGGAUUAGCUGCUUUGGGGAAGGAUUAUCUGCGAGACUUCUAAAAGGUAUUAAGCUUAGCCAGUGUAGAUAAACCACAAUUCGAAUCAACGUAACUUUUCAGGAAUGUAUGAAUGUUGUAAUUCGGGGUGCAUUUUUUUUAUUCGGGGUGCAUUUGAGACCAAAAAUAACCCUGGAGCUCAGUACAAGGCAGGAAGGGGGGACGUCUGCUGUCCGGGGGCUGCCCUCAGCGUCGACACUCUCUUCCUGCCUCCUGGCAUCGUCUUCUGUGUGCCACCAGGAGCCCACCUGCAGGCCCCGCCCUCCACGUACCUGUAGCCAAACCGUGGCAGGGAGGUGCGACGGGCUCCACCAAUCAAUCCUACCCAAGACUCUGACUCUUCAGGGUGAACACACCCAGGGAUGUUUCGGAAGUGUUGGCGGAAGCCACCGUCGUGAGAGGCCGGUGCCAGACAUGCCCAGCAGCAUCGGUGCCACGGACCACAGGCCACAUCCUUACCCGAAGCUUCCUGUGGCUGGGCCUUAACUGUGGUUCAGGGCCUCCCGGGCUCCUGUCCCUCUUCUGAGCCUUGGUCUCCAGACUUCCGGUUGAUUCUCAGAACGAUCCAGGAACCUUCUGUCCAGUUCUUUUUCUCAUUAAGUUAACCAGAGUUAACCAGAGCUGGUGUCCAGCUAAAAGCCACGACUCGCCAACCCAGGAUAACAAACAGCGAGGUUCCCCAGCACCCUGUCCUAUUUGGAAAGGGCUCCUCAUUCCUCCCUGCACGGACAGGACCAAGCCGUGCGACCAAGAGGGCGCUGCAGGGAAGACGGCGUGACUCCUGAGCCGAGGUCCUCAAAGACGUCGUGGUUUCCGCCUGGCUUUCCCUGGGAUCGCUGUCUCUGGGGGAAGCCAGCUGCCGGGGCAUGAGGAUGCUCGGACAGGCGCUACGCGUGGAUUCACGCAGGGAGAAACUGAGGCCUCCUGCCCUCCAGCCAACCUCGGCCUGCCAGGCACGGCAGCGGGUCCUCGAGCCCUCAGGUGUGCUGGCUGCGGCCAGGUGGGAUGGGGCCAACCUGCCAGCUCUGUUCUGGAGCGCAGAAAACCGCGUCAGCGUAGUCCAGGGAGCCUCCUCUGAGCCUGGGACUGCGCGUCUCCAAGAAUCCCAGGGACUCCUCCGGAUGCCUCUGCGCAACCUGGAGAUGGUGCCAUGGGUGGGGUUUUCUGUUUAUUCAUCACAACAGCUACUUUGUAGCAAGCUCGGCUACAGUUGCAGCAACGCUCCUUAAAACUUCUAGAUUUAAACAUUUUGUAUUACCCAGAGUUUUGAGGAAAGAUGAAAGGAGCCAGUUACGUGGGUCCGGGCCACUUUUCCCACCGUCUGUAACCCAAGGGGACCCUACUGAACAUUAGCCCAGGUGGUUAAUCUUGCAGUUCUUAUCGCUUGGGUUCUUAAAUAUGCCGCAAGCACAGCGAGCGGAGGUGGGCAGAGGGCAUCAGCGACUGCAGCCUGACGGCCACGCCCUGCUGACAAAUCACGCCUGAACUUGUGGCUGAAGACGUGCCGUCCACCUCCACUGGCCUUUCUGCCGAGGAAAGCCAUGCCUGUGCCCCUAUAACUCAGCCCCAUUUACACACCAACUCUUUCUCAAUCGAAACCCUUCGCGGUCUGUUCUCACAUCUUCCUGUCAUUUGUCGGGCACCCAGUUUCCCAGAGACACCUUCUGCUCGCCCCGGGCUUUCUGGGGCUUAAUGUGAUUUCCAAGCAACUUGAUACAGUAUUUAAACGCCCCCCCCCCCGCCCGUCCCCCCGCCGCCCAACGUGCCGCUGGUGCGGUGGAGGCAGCGCCGCAUUCCCACGGAGCUCCCCGGGCCCGCUCUGCUCCUUGUGGGGGCCCCGCCUCCGCCCCCCAGAAAUCGGGUUGCAGGAAAGGGGCGCCAGGGCGGAAGGCGCAGCUCGCAGAGGCCGGCUCCCGUCCCCAGAUUCAGCCAGCGGCUGCAGAGACACCCAGACGUGACGUGCGUGUGCUUCGGGCACACAUUAAAGAGACUGGGGGCUACGUUGAGGGGGCUUUUCGAAAGCAGAAAGUCUCUACAGAGCCCUUCCAACCGAUUCAAAAUGAUUUUCAAUCAGAAGGGAACAGGCUGAGAAUCGUCCCACCGUACGGCUCCCCGCAGACUCGGAGCACCCGCCCUGGGUGCUGGGGUCGGGGCUCCCCGACGGACCCCCCGAGGCAGGGCCCAGGCCCGCGAAGGCCGCUCCCUGGACGCCUCACGUGAUGAGGCAAUUGGCUCGCCCCCUGAGACCGGGCAGCAGCACUGGCUAUUUCUUGGACUAGCUCCGGAUUACUCAUUUCCAAAGAAUGGCAUGCCAGCCGCUCUGAGGGUGAAGUGCCAGCUCUCAAGGCCUCCGGCCUGCGCAGGAGCACGGGGUGGGAGAGCCGCCAGGGGCACGAGGCGGCCGCAGCUGCCGGCAGAGCCACGGCCUGGGCCACGGGGGCCGGGUCUGGGGUCGCGCCGGUCGCCCCAUCAACGCCGGGGUCCCCAGCGGAGGUGAAGGGGGGCGAUGGGGAGUCUGGGGUUUCUGGAAGCAGAAGCCCCAGCGGUGAGGCUGUGAA